UUCAUUUUGAAGCGGAACUGAAACUCUGCGUUACUGUUUCCUUCAGGGACUCCUUAAAGUCACGGACGACCGGAAGUGGUCGCAAAUUUAAACAGCCAUCAGAACAACAAUACGCGCGGACUUUACUUCACGGGCUGUGUGGGGUGCAGACCUGACCCAAGUCCAAGCUGACGGCAACAGCAUGGAAGAAGAAACAAUAACGACCGAGACGGCAGAAGGUGAUGUGGCGCCCAAUGAGGAAGAGCCUAGUGUAGAAAUGACCAAUGACAGUCCAUCUAAAAGAGGAAGGGGAAGGCCAAAAGGUGCAAAGAAGCUAGAAGUCGGAGUUACCGACGUCAACCUAAUGGUUUCAGGCAUUUCUAACGGUGGACCCCCACAGACCCAGAGAGGAAGGGGACGUCCGAAACUCAUUAAACCCACAGAGCAGCAAGGAUCAGGAGACAACAAUGCUGACGAUUCAGGGUCCCAGAAACAGGCCAGUGAUGAAGAUGGUGCUACGACAGAACUUUCUCCUAAGAAAAGAGGCAGGCCACGUAAGUCUCUCAGCACCCCUGCAAAGGUUGAUACACCAAAAAGACAAAGGGGUCGACCAAAAGGAUCCACGAAGCGCAAGUCAGAGAGUCCGAGUGAAUCAGGCUCUCCUAAUAAGAAACCCAGGCAGGAAGCCGUGAAGAAGAGAGGUCGGCCCAGGAAGGUUGAGGGAGCAUCAAAUGGCAUCUCAAAGAAGUCGCAUAGAGGGAGGGGAAGGCCCAGAAAAAGUAUUGAACAGGAGAGCGGAGAUGAAAAGAGGAGAAGGGGUCGACCAAAAGGCUCUCUUAAUAAGAAACCUGUUGCAUAUAAGGUGCAAGCUAAGGUAGGCCGAGCCAACAAAGGGAAGCGUGGUCGACCGAGAAAAGAACCAGCCACAAGAGGAAGACCAAGGAAAUAUCCCCGGCCGUCAGCAGAGGAGCUGAACAAGCCACGAGUAUGGAAGCCGCUGGGAAGGCCCAGGAAAUACCCACGUCCCGAUCCUCCUGAGGAGUCUUCACCAACCCCUCCCAGAAACCGCGGCCGACCUCGCAAGACAGAGUCCAAAAAAGGCGCUCACCUACGCAAGAAUUUCCCUGCCUCUUCUUCCUCGCCACCUAGCCCCAAUGUUGAACCCCCGAGAAAAAGGGGCCGUCCCCCAAAAAGUGAUGCCGACCCCCCACGGAAACUGGGCCGCCCUAAAGGUUCAGUCAACAAAAAUAAAGCCACAAGUGAAUUAGAAGCCGCACCCCCCAGCGAGGCAAGUGAAGAACAGACGGUGGAAGAGGAAGUGCAGCAGAACGCAGAGACGUCCAUUGAGGAUGUUUCUGAAGAGUCGCUCAUCGACCAGGCAGCCAGCUUUGAAGUCACAAACCAGACUUGAUGAACUAUUCUGGUCCGACCAAAAAGUUGCUGUAGUACUUGCUGUUUAAAACAUAGAAGACAAACCUGUCAAUGAAACGUGUUUUUAACAUUUCGUCAGUCGGCUGGGCUAGAUAUUCAGCAGCUCUUGUUUUCUCUAAAGUGUCCAUCUUGUUUUAUCGUGCUUGAUUUUUAUUUUAUUUUUAAAGUACUUUAUUUCUGUCAUGAGUAGCAGGGUUUCUGUUAGCCGUUAAUUACCGUUUUUUUAGCUGGUAAAAUGUAUAAUAAACCGGUAAAUUCAAAACCUGCCGGUCAAAAUGUCCGGUAAUAAUGCUCAUACAUCACUUAGAUAUCGUAUCCCUAUGCAUUUGUCUUUUGACUGCUACGUUACUUUACUGGUGCUGCGUCAUGACAUCACCGUUUACGUCGCUGAUUUUCUCCCCAACGCCGCUCGCAACAACAACAACAGUCGGGGACCGUCGGGUCGAUGAUCGGCAUGCUUUUAGUCAUGCGAAGCCAGAUUGAAUUAAAGAACUACUUCUCAAACCUUAUCCUUUUUUCCAGAAUGCCAUGGUUCAUAGUGAAUGUGUUCAGUUUGAAUUGACGCUGUUAUGAAAGUUGCUCUGGUAUAAGACAGGUGAUGUUAGCAUGGCAGCCCAAGCUAAUCUUACUAUCUUGACCACCUGUUGCUAUCUUAUUGUGCAGCCGUUUUCUACAGGCAUAUUUUACCCGCGAAGAGCAAGGGCUUAAUCAGCCUCUAGCGUUCGGGGGUCGGGGAAAAUACUUGUUAACAUUAUAGUUGCAUUUGUUAUUGAAACAUGACCGGUAAGUUUCGAAUUUGUCCGGUAAAAUAAAUUAUUUCUGGACACUUGACCGGCAAGAAAAAGUCCUAGCGGAAACCCUGAUGAGUAGUACUAAUAACCUUUUACUUAAACUGGCAUGUUGAGUUUAUUAUUAUAGGCUGACACCCAGUUUUUAUUUAGCUUUCAGAUGGUAGUGUAUGUUGGAUGGGCUGUAUCUAUAAGAUGGUUGCUGUGGAAAGACGUGAAGGAAUAAAUAAGUCCAAAGUAAUUUUGUAAAAAAUAAAGAACAGUGAAACCAUAAAGAGCAAAAAGCCCGACACGACAUCAGGGCGAGCCUCUGUCCCAGUAUCGUGUAACUCAAUACAAUCUGUCUUUUCUGCAUUUUUUUUAUUGCUCUUUCUGGAAAAAAAAAUAACGUGUUCUUGAGGUUUACUUUCCAUAUUGUAGGGCAUACUUGUCAGCCACUUUCGUUUCCAUCACUUUCUCAUAUAGUCAUGUAAAUAAAAGGCCUCUUUGAACUGAAAUAUAUGCGCCUGAUGUUUCUUGUGUCAUGCACAUACUGACUCCCAUCCCACUUGGACUUCCAAAACACAGAAACCUGUGAAGGACUCCUUAACAUCUCGGACGACCGGAAAUGGUCGCAAAUUUAAACAGCCAUCACAGCAACAAUACGCGCGGACUUUACUUCACGGGCUGUGUGGGGUAUCGGUGCAUUUAUGAAAAAUAAGAUAAAUUCCUGCAGAAGAUUUCUCUAAGGUGCAAACCUGAAAGAAGCAGUCCAAGCUGACGGCAACAGCAUGGAAGAAGAAACAAUAACGACCGAGACGGCAGAAGGAGAUGUGGCGCCCAAUGAGGAAGAGCCUAGUGUAGAAAUGACCAAUGACAGUCCAUCUAAAAGAGGAAGGGGAAGGCCAAAAGGUGCAAAAAAGCUGAAGGUUGGAGUUACCGACGUCAACCUAAUGGUUUCGGGCAUUUCUAAUGGUGGACCACCACAGACCCCGAGAGGAAGGGGACGUCCGAAACUCAUUAAACCCACAGAGCAGCAAGGAUCAGGAGACAACAAUGCCGACGAUUCAGGGUCCCAGAAACAGGCCAGUGAUGAAGAUGGUGCUACGUCAGAACAUUCUCCUAAGAAAAGAGGCAGGCCACGUAAGUCUCUCAGCACCCCUGCAAAGGUUGAUACACCAAAAAGACAAAGGGGUCGACCAAAAGGAUCCACGAAGCGCAAGUCAGAGAGUCCGAGUGAAUCCGAGAGUCCGGGUGAAUCAGAGAGUCCGAGUGAAUCCGAGAGUCCGAGUGAAUCAGGCUCUCCUAAUAAGAAACCCAGGCAGGAAGCAGUGAAGAAGAGAGGUCGGCCCAGGAAGGUUGAGGGAGCAUCAAAUGGCAUCUCAAAGAAGUCGCAUAGAGGGAGGGGAAGGCCCAGAAAAAGUAUUGAACAGGAGAGCGGAGAUGAAAAGAGGGGAAGGGGUCGACCAAAAGGCUCUCCUAAUAAGAAACCUGUUGCAUAUAAGGUACAAGCUAAGGUAGGCCGAGCCAACAAAGGGAAGCGUGGUCGACCGAGAAAAGAACCAGCCACAAGAGGAAGACCAAGGAAAUAUCCCCGGCCGUCAGCAGAGGAGCUGAACAAGCCACGAGUAUGGAAGCCGCUGGGAAGGCCCAGGAAAUACCCGCGUCCCGAUCCUCCUGAGGAGUCUUCACCAACCCCUCCCAAGAACCGUGGCCGACCUCGCAAGACAGAGUCCAAAAAAGGCGCUCACCUACGCAAGAAUUUCCCUGCCUCUUCUUCCUCGCCACCUAGCCCCAAUGUUGAACCCCCAAGAAAAAGGGGCCGUCCCCCAAAAAGUGAUGCUGACCCCCCACGGAAACUGGGCCGCCCUAAAGGUUCAGUCAACAAAAAUAAAGCCACAAGUGAAUUAGAAGCCGCACCCCCCAGCGAGGCAAGUGAAGAACAGACGGUGGAAGAGGAAGUGCAGCAGAACGCAGAGACGUCCAUUGAGGAUGUUUCUGAAGAGUCGCUCAUCGACCAGGCAGCCAGCUUUGAAGUCACAAACCAGGCUUGAUGAACUAUUCUGGUCCAACCAAAAAGUUGCUGUAGCCUAGUACUUGCUGUUUAAAACAGAGAAGACAAACCUGUCAAUGAAACGUGUUUUUAACAUUUCGUCAGUCGGCUGGGCUAGAUAUUCAGCAGCUCUUGUUUUCUCUAAAGUGUCCAUCUUGUUUUGUCGUGCUUGAUUUUUAUUCUUUAUUUCUGUCAUACGAGUAGUACUAAUAACCUUUCACUAAAACUGGCAUGUCAUAUUGAUCAUUAUAGACUAGUAUUUUCAAAAACAUAAGCUUAGUUAAACUGUAAAACGAUUACUGUGGAAUGACUCGGAAGGGGGGGGGAGGCCCAAAAAUGCUGAAAAAAAUUGUGUGACUAGAGAGCCAAAAUCCUGACUUGAAAUGUAUUUUUUUUAAAGGUUUAACAUUAACCAGAUUUUAGGAUUAACUCAAUAAAGAGCUAGAUCAAAGAUUUUUUCCAAUUGCCAUAUAUUUUUUGGUUUCUAAAAAACUCAAGUACAGAUGAUUAGAAAUGAAACUUAUUAUUUUUGUAUAUUUUUGGGUAACAAUGUAAGGGGUAAUAAUGUAUCUACAGAUGAGUAUCACUUCAGCUUACUAUUGUGAAUCUGUGAGAGUGCUUGCUGGAUACAAUAUGUCUAAAUACUGUCAUACUUUUCUCAAUACCAUUUCACUGUUGUUUUGCCUUAAUUGCCAAAGCUUUGAAUGUACCAUUACUUACAGUUCCUGAGAGCAGUGUGUUUCCUUUCUCCCUACUUGUACAUUCCUCAGCAGGACAUUAAAGCUCUAUGAAAUGCCUUCCUGCCACUCAGUUCCUUUUUUAGUUAUUGAUACAGUUAGUUCACUCUUUUAUCUAAAUGUUUAGUUGUAUCUGUGAAGCAUCUUGUGUCCUUUUAACUGUCUUGAGAUUAAUUCAUGUGAUCGGAUUGCUUUCACAAACAUUCAUUGACAUGUGUUUUUUUGGCACCUUGUGUACAAAUUGUGACCUGUUCAUGUUUACUGUUAGAAACAUUUUUUAGGGAUGGGUCAAAGAUUAUACAUUUCUAAAUGCCAAAUUGUUUAUCGGUUUGUAAUGUUAAACAAGUUGAUAUGAAGUCUGACUAUUUUAGUGGACAUUUGAAUUGUGUGUGUUUUUGAACAAGGAGUCAAUUAUUUGUUGUUUUUAAAUAAAAAAUAAAUAUUGCUGUUUUAUUUUCCACAA